rnacentral:lncRNA from 1 species
GCUGCCAAUUGGGUGUCACUGAGAUAAGGAUUGGUCGGCGACGACCAAGAAUCAGUUGCCUUAUUUUGCAUUUGGGUGGGGAAGUCAUAGGCCACAGGACUACUCAAAAGAGAGAGAUCAGUCAGCCCGUUCGGCUAGCGAUCAUCUUCUGGUCAGACUGAUCUGGCCAUUUAGGCAUACCAUCGAUUCAUCGGCCUAGGCCAUAGGAAUCGGCUAAUGAGGAGAUAUCAACGAUGAUGCAC